rfam:Vitis vinifera, whole genome shotgun sequence of line PN40024, unoriented chromosome 14, chr14
GAGAUAUGAUGAGUGCUUUUUUGGUCCGUGUUUCUGAUUUCACUGUGACCGAUAAACCAUACCAAACUCUGAUCUC